rnacentral:rRNA from 1 species
GACGAACGCUGGCGGCGUGCCUAACACAUGCAAGUCGAGCGGGGUUGAAGCGAGGGGUAACUCGAGUUUCUACCUAGCGGCGGACGGGUGAGUAACGCGUGGGCAACCUGCCUCAAGGACUGGGAUAACAGCUCGAAAGGGCUGCUAAUACCGGAUAAGCCUAUGGCCUCGCAUGGGGCCAUGAGCAAAGGGGAAACCCGCCUUGAGAUGGGCCCGCGUCCCAUCAGCUAGUUGGUGAGGUGAAGGCUCACCAAGGCGACGACGGGUAGCCGGCCUGAGAGGGUGACCGGCCACACUGGGACUGAGACACGGCCCAGACUCCUACGGGGGGCAGCAGUGGGGAAUCUUGCACAAUGGGCGAAAGCCUGAUGCAGCGACGCCGCGUGAGCGAAGAAGGCCUUCGGGUUGUAAAGCUCUGUCUGGAGGGACGAAGGAAGUGACGGUACCUCCGGAGGAAGCCACGGCUAACUACGUGCCAGCAGCCGCGGUAAACGUAGCGUG